rnacentral:lncRNA from 1 species
CUGGCUUUUACUGCUCCAUAGCCUAACGUGAGCUGCGUGGUGCGGAAGGUGUUUCCCAAGCCAAGCCUCGUGUGGUACGUGGACAGAGCGAGCCUGACGGAGCAGCCCGGAGAAAUUGCUGUUGAACAAGAAGACUUGCAAGACAGUGAAGGUUUCUAUCAGCUGAGAUCAACACUGGUGUUGCAAGGGACCCAGCAGACACAUAAGAUAUUCUCGUGUGCAUGUCUGUUUUCCUUCCUCGGGAAUGAAACAUGGAAUAUUUCAUCAGAAGAAAUAUUUGUUUCCUUCGACAAUAAGUCUAAUGAAACCUCAUCCAGAGCUUUUACCACCAUGGCUUUAGAAGACCUUGGAAAUUCAGCACUUCCAUCAGCUGUUGUGACUACCUCAGGU